rnacentral:rRNA from 1 species
ACUAGCAACUCCAGCUUCAUGUAGGCGAGUUUCAGCCUACAAUCCGAACUGAGACAAGUUUUUGAGUUUUGCUCCACCUCGCGGUAUUGCUUCUCUUUGUACUUGCCAUUGUAGCACGUGUGUAGCCCUAGACAUAAGGGGCAUGAUGAUUUGACGUCAUCCCCACCUUCCUCCCGGUUAACCCGGGCAGUCUCGCUAGAGUGCUCAACUAAAUGGUAGCAACUAACAAUAAGGGUUGCGCUCGUUGCGGGACUUAACCCAACAUCUCACGACACGAGCUGACGACAACCAUGCACCACCUGUCUUCCUGUUCCCGAAGGAACUUCCCCGGUUAAGGGUAAUGCAGGAGAUGUCAAGUCUAGGUAAGGUUCUUCGCGUUGCUUCGAAUUAAACCACAUGCUCCGCUGCUUGUGCGGGCCCCCGUCAAUUCCUUUGAGUUUUAAUCUUGCGACCGUACUCCCCAGG